GAUAGCAUAGGGGUAUGUGUUCUUGUAAAGGGGGGAUUUAUUUCACAAACAGGGGGGAAAAAACUAUUCUACAGAUUUGAUCGAAGGUGUUGUUGAUGGAUGAUUAUGACAUAAUCCCAAACAGUUGGCAUGCAAAUAAACAUUAGCUCCUCAGUCCUUCUCAUUGGGUGUUAGUGGCUGAUGGACGGAUCUAAAGAGGAAAGUGAAAACACAAACUCACACUCUGUCAGCAUCCAGCCGUGGCAAGCAGGCACAUUGUGGAGUAGGCUAUGCAGCCGCGCUAAAGAGUUAUUAAAGUUCUGAGUCUGACAGUCAAAGCUUCCGGAAGGCAUACACACGGAGGAAUACAACUGAAAACAGGGAGGAAAAUCUCACCUCACCGGUAUCUGCUUUCUACACUUUGACUUUGGGACUAUUCUGGAGUGUAGCUAAAUGAAAAGGAGGCGACGUAUCAUAACCAAAUAGACCGCACUAUGGAGAGCAAGGGCAGCCGCUGUAAAAUCGUGGUGGUCGAUGACACGCGAUGUGGCAAAACGGCAUUACUUCAUGUCUUCGCCAAAGACUCGUACCCAGAGAAUUAUGUCCCUACUGUCUUCGAGAACUACACGGCCAGUUUCGAGAUCGAGAAACAGAGGAUUGAGCUGAACAUGUGGGACACAUCAGACGAUCCUGCAGGUGAAGAAGCCGGAUGUGGAGGUCCUG